UGGGGAACCGGGAGGAGGGCCCG
rnacentral:piRNA from 1 species